rnacentral:misc_RNA from 1 species
CGACGUCUUUUCUGCCCUGUUUCCGGUCUUUGCCCUCCGUGUCCGUAUACGUCCCUUCCUCCGUUACUUUUCAUUCCCUCGUUUUUUCUUCUUCCCUUUUUGUUCGUGUCUUUCCCUUACCGACCCUCACAUCUGCUCUCUCAAGAAGUAUCAGAAGGGGGUGAGGCAUCGAGAGGCACAACAUAGCAAAGCAAUAACAAGAGAAAACUAGUCACGCGGCCUCAGACUCAGUCGAGACACGGGUGAGCAUGGAACGACUUCGCGUCGUUUGCAUCCGUGCAGCCGCCCCUCGUCGGCGACUUGCUGGUGCAAACUUACGCCAUGGGCGAGUGGAGACAGUACUGAGCGUAGGCACAAACUCGUCGCUGCUGAGGCAAUGGUCCGUGUCUUCUGGUCGGAGCCCUUCAGCGGCGUGGACGACGUGCGCACAAACGCGCAUGACGGCUACUCUCCCGGAGGCGCAAUGCGCCGGUAGUGUGGCUAACGGCAUCAGCACCGAGAGCAGCGUCCGCGUGGCGGAGUCGAAGGUGACCUCGUCCGUGGCAACAGGUUUACCAGUUCCACCAUCUUUCUCGAGUCGCACCGGCACCGCGUCCGGCGCGCAUGCUCUAAAUGUGAAGGGAACCGGAGAUGCCGCGAUGGUGAGCUUCUCGCAGGGCAUGACAGAUUACCGAUGGUGCGCCAUCCCGGGCACGGACACGGUGUGCGCCCCGUCGGUGCAGCACCGCGAAACGGUAUCAAAUCGAAUUCGGCUUUUCGGCAUGCCGAAAGGCUUUCCGGACACGACCGCCGCAGGGUUUCAGCGGUUUUUCUACCUGUCCCUGACAAGCUCCUUUGUGUCCAACUUCGCCUCUUCGAUCGGAUAUCAGUCGCUGCUCAGCGGCUUCUUCCUCGGUUCCUCGCCGCAGCUGUGGAUGCUGAAGGAUCUCGUUCCCGCCCUGUUCGCGGCCUACAUGGCGAACAAAGUCGUCUCCUACGAGAGCCGGCCCAAGUUCUGGUUCGUCGUGAGCGUCUUCAUAAACAACUUGACGGUUAUAUCGGACAUGCUCAUUCCUUCUGUGUUGCCGAACCACCUCCUCGCUGCCGCCAUCAUCACGUCGACCGUAAAGCAGUCCUCGGCUCUCAUGUACUUUGUGACGCGCGCUUCGGCACUCCAGCACUACGCCAUCAACAAUAACCUUGCCGAGCUGACGAAGAAGUUCAACUCUUUCGGCAUGGUAUCCUACACGGUGGCGACAGCGCUCGGUAUCCUGUACUGCACCUACAUUGCGAGUUUCACGGUGCAGCUCAUCACGGUCGCCGCCUGCUGUGUGACGAACAUGUUCUUGUCCUCCAUGUCCAUGAUGCCUAUCACGUUUCGCUUGCUGAACUUCGACACAAUGAAGCUGCUGCUUCGCGCCUUUAUCCUGGAAAAGCGCCGCAUCCUGACGCCACAGGAGAUAUCGAAUUUGCUUGGCGUGCGCAUGUUGCCGAUGCAGGCACUGAAGAAGGUUGGUAUUGCCAUGGAUGUGGCCACCCACCUCGUGUGUGUUAGCCCGCCGGUGAACAAACUGCUGAUCCGGUCCGACACGCUGGAGGAGGAUGUGCUGUACGUGAACAGUGACCACAUGUUCAUGCUCGCUAUGUGGAAGCCAUCCCCGCUGCCUCUGACGCUGAGGGAGUGUUGGCAGCGCUACGAGUUCCCGCCGCUGCCCCGCUUGUUCCGGAAAGCCAGCUGGCGGCGCCGCUCACAGGAGGAUCUCGACAUGGAGAAGAAGUUCCACGGCCGGCGUCUGGUGCUGUUGGUGCAUCAGAAAUGCACCGCCAAACACCUCAUUGCGGCGUACCUCAUCAUGUACACGGCUGUGUUGCAGCAUGCAGAUACAGAGGAGGAGCUGCGCCGCUUUGUGCGCACGUGCCACGGUGAGCAGGAACUGUGGCAUCUGCGUGGGGAGGAGUUCGGCCAGAUGCUGCUGGCUGCUGACUGGGACGUGCACCUACCGCUCCUGGACCACCACAACUUCCGCAUGUCAGAGCUCAUUUUACCGCCCUCCAUGCGGAGCGCAGCGAAGGGCUGCGCGGCAUAGAUCGGAAAGUAUGGCUAUGCGUGAGUUCCUAGGCAGACGAGGAGCAUACACCCGGACUCGGCAAUAAUGCCUUUGACAAUGCAGUCCGUUUUAUUGUUGUUUCUCUCCUCCUCUGCUGACAGGGGGGGGGGACAUUUCAGUGCGCCGUAUCUGAGGGUGCAGUACACCCCCCGCCCCCUAGCCCUGCCAAAUGCCGGGCCACCUCUGGUGGUGACAGGGCCUAGUGCCUACGACGUAGGGGAAGGCCCGAGCGAUGCAUCACUGCUGAUGUCGGCGGUGAGGGGCUGGAUGGCGCUGCGUCGGACCGACCUGCGACCGUGCACACGCUUGCGCCAUCCACGUGAUGGGCAGAGCGUCCGCGUGACUCGAGCGUGUACCGCACCCCCGGCCCUCGCACUGCCCAGUGGUGUGGGGCGGCGGAGCGCCACCGCGAGUGUGUGUGUGUGUGCAGCACGUAGGGACCGACAUGAUGUGGGAGCGGCUGUGAGGCGGCCUGCGAGGCAGGAUGGGUGGGCGGACAGAGCUUGAGGGCAGUGGGGCCGUUCUCCGAUGACUGAGUGGGCACACUGCCGCAACGCCUGGCGAAAGCGAUGGUUGACAGCACGCGCUGAGGAACUUUGGCAGGCCUGGGCUAGUGUGGAGUAUAGCGCAUGCUCGCUGACAGCGACUGGGCACAUUGGCCUUACUCCCCCUCCUUCUCCUGUGCGUUGUGAUGUUUCGACGCGGGCGGAACGUUUCUGCCACAGCUGCCUUAGCGUGAGCUUGCUUACGGCCUACCUUAGGAGGAGGCUAUCCGCUCGUGCACAAAGAGGGCUGGGCGGGUUUGAAGUCAAACAAAUGAGGUUCGAUGGCGGCCACGUCAUACCACGGGAGACGGUCCAGCGGAACGAAAAGCAAAACAACAAGUGAAACAAGAAAGGAAAAGUGGUGUGUGUUUUUAUGUGGGUUUGAGUGGGUGGGUCGGGGCGAACUUGCCGUUUUUGUUGUUCUGCCCAACUUUGUGCUAGAAUGAAGUUCUGGUACCGCGCUGCUCUUGUUGUACUAUGAACAUUUUCGUUGUUGUUUUCUUUCGUGCUGCUUCGGUUACGGUUACACGUCAUUGCCGUGCCUUUAUCGUUUAGCACAACCUCCACGUCGCUCGUGUGUGUGUGUGUGUGUUUCUUCGUGCCAUUCCGUGUGAGGCUGAGGCCUCGCUGAUCGCUCUCGGAACGCACAAAUGCGGCGGCAUAGGUGUACCAAAGAAGGAGGGCAUGACGACAAAUCUCUUACUUCUUGUGCCCUUCUCUCAUGCAAGCGGAUGCGCGAGAUCAGCUCCGGUCCAGCGUAACGACAACAGCGCGCAGCAGGACUUAGCGAAAAGCAAAAAAAAACACAAAUCAACAACGUGCAGUGGUGUUUGGACGGUGCGUGGUGACCGGAGCGUCGAUUUUUUUUUGUGUGCUCUCGCGGUUCGGGUGAGGCAGUACGUAUACGCCCUUGCUCUCCUCCUUUUCGAUUCUUUUUUUUUCGAUUCUUUAUUUCUAUUCUGAUUUUUUUUUGCACACUUAAAUCCUGAAAUUUGACGGUGCUCCUUCUCUUCUGUCUUUUUCCUUCUCAUUGAAAAAAGGUAUUUGGCCCUCUUGUACUGGGUGGGGGGAAGGAGGGUCCCUGCUAUUUGUGUUUCGUUCUUUUCGUUUUCGAUGGGGGCAGUCUCACGGUCGUGACCUGCGGGCCAUAUCUGCAUGUGGGGCGUGGUGGACCUCUUUCCUCACAUCCCUUCUGAUGUUGGGGAAGGUGCUUGUUUUUUUUUUUCGUGUACUAACUUCUCUGCGAGUUCGAGUCGAUCCCACACCGACCAGCCCAUCAUCGUGCCCGCCACUGGGUGGGAGACAUGAUGGAUGAGGAAGGGUGGGCCCGAUACUUUCGUGGAAGGCAUCGAAACGAUAAGCAGCAACUCUGUAAGAGCGGACUACACAAGCCGGUUUCUCCUACCUGGUGAUGUCCAACACGUUUGUGGCAUCGUCCAUAACAGGUUAGAAAAUGAGGAUAAAGCCCCACGCAGGCCCACAAACUACCUUGUUCUCCUCUGGCUCUUCUCUAUCUGGUCGCGCAUUAGCGAUGGCAGG